CUGGGCACAAACACAGACCAGAUGACUUCAUUCCACAAAGACUACCAACCCUGUCAUCCAAAGCAGCCGUUGAGCACCAUGGUGACAGUAAACAAUAGAACCCUGGUGUUGUUUGAGCAGAAAUAAUGGUCUUUCUGGUCUUUCUUUUCCCUUAGAAUUGCCAGCACCUACCUGCCCUGCUCCUGUGCCUUUCAUGGCAACCCAACAAAUGUAGUAAGAACUCUGCAAUCAUGACUUGAAGGAUCUAGCAGUGAAGGACCAUGUUCUGCCUGGAAGCAUCCAGGCUGUCAACUGAAGAUCCUGAAUUUCACAGAUAGUGAAGCAGAGGCUUAUGGGCAGCUGAAGAUUGCCAGGAGAGAAGAAGAGGCAGCAGGGAACAAAGAGGCAGCCAUGCAAAGAAAGGCAGGUUUCUUACCUGUAACUGUAGUUCUUUGAGUGGUCUUCUGUGCAUUCACACAAGGGUUUGCACCUGCACAGAGCCAACAUCUGGAUAUUUCUAGAGCUUUACCAUAUUAGGAAAAAAGAGCGGGAAACACGGCUCCCCCAUCUGACAGACUACCACACUCCAUCAGUCCGAGCGACCACCGCAGCUAAGAGCAGAGGCCAUAAUUAGCCAAAGCAAUCUUCCUUACCUGGAUGGAGGGUGCAACCAAAGAGGAAGGAGAAUCACUGAAAGGCAGACUGGAGGUCAGAAGCAAACACCGCCUGGGACUUGGAGUGGAUGUCCAGCUCAUAAUGUCCGACAAAUGUUGUUGGAUGGGACCAUGUAGCAGCCUUACAGAUGUCCAAGAUUGAAACACUCCUGUAAAAAGCCAUUAAAAACUCCUGUAAAAAAGCCAUUAAACACUCCUGUAAAAAGCCAUGUAAAAAGGUUGCCAUUGCUCGAGUGGAAUGUGCCCUGAU